GGCCGGGUGGCGCGCAGGGAUACAAGACCUUCGGGGAAAACUGCGGGCCGGACCUGACGACGGUGUUCAAGCACCCGGCCACCUCAUG
rnacentral:ncRNA from 1 species